rnacentral:rRNA from 1 species
UCGAGCGGCAUCGAGUGAGCGCAGUUUACUGAGUUCAUGUCGGCGAGCGGCGGACGGGUGAGUAAAGUCUGGGAAUCUGGCCGAAGGAGGGGGAUAACUGCUGGAAACGGCAGCUAAUACCGCAUGAAGUCGCGAGACCAAAGUGGGGGACCUUCGGGCCUCACGCCUUCGGAUGAGCCCAGAUGAGAUUAGCUGGUAGGUAAGGUAAAGGCUUACCUAGGCGACGAUCUCUAGCGGGUCUGAGAGGAUAGCCCGCCACACUGGAACUGAGACACGGUCCAGACUCCUACGGGAGGCAGCAGUGGGGAAUAUUGCACAAUGGGCGAAAGCCUGAUGCAGCCAUGCCACGUGUGUGAAGAAGGCCUUCGGGUUGUAAAGCACUUUCAGCGAGGAGGAAGCGAUAAAUGCCAAUACCA